UAUGCUAUAACGCUGAAUUCGUAUGAAGCGGGGAAACCAAUUUUGGGGUGAAUCCAUUUAUAUGGAGGGGUUAUCUUUCGACCCUAACCCGUCAGCUAACCUCGUAAGCGUUGAAAGAGGAGGA
rnacentral:sRNA from 2 species